rnacentral:rRNA from 1 species
AAUAGAUACCCGGGUAGUCCACGCCCUAAACGAUGUCGACUAGGUGUUGGGGAAGGAGACUUCCUUAGUACCGCAGCUAACGCGUGAAGUCGACCGCCUGGGGAGUACGGUCGCAAGAUUAAAACUCAAAGGAAUUGACGGGGACCCGCACAAGCGGUGGAUGAUGUGGAUUAAUUCGAUGCAACGCGAAAAACCUUACCUACCCUUGACAUGUACGGAAGUCCGCUGAGAGGUGGAUGUGCCCGAAAGGGAGCCGUAACACAGGUGCUGCAUGGCUGUCGUCAGCUCGUGUCGUGAGAUGUUGGGUUAAGUCCCGCAACGAGCGCAACCCUUGCCAUUAGUUGCCACAUUCAGUUGGGCACUCUAAUGGGACUGCCGGUGACAAACCGGAGGAAGGUGGGGAUGACGUCAAGUCCUCAUGGCCCGUAUGGGUAGGGCCUCACACGUCAUACAAUGGCGCGUACAGAGGGUUGCCAACCCGCGAGGGGGAGCCAAUCCCAGAAAGCGCGUCGUAGUCCGGAUUGGAGUCUGCAACUCGACUCC